rnacentral:rRNA from 1 species
UACGUAGGGUGCGAGCGUUAAUCGGAAUUACUGGGCGUAAAGCGUGCGCAGGCGGUUUUGUAAGCCAGAUGUGAAAUCCCCGGGCUCAACCUGGGAAUGGCAUUUGGGACUGCAAGGCUGGAGUACGGCAGAGGAGACUGGAAUUCCUGGUGUAGCAGUGAAAUGCGUAGAUAUCAGGAGGAAUACCGAUGGCGAAGGUAGGUCUCUGGGCUGAUACUGACGCUCAUGCACGAAAGCGUGGGGAGCAAACAGG